AUGAGAGUUUGAUCCUGGCUCAGGACGAACGCUGGCGGCGUGCCUAACACAUGCAAGUCGAGCGAUCCGGCACUCAACUAAGCGCUUACAGGAAGAAAAGACGGGAAAGAGAAAAAAGGCAGGAAGAGAAAAAAAUAUGAGUAAACGCGGAGUUGAGUGUCGGAUAGCGGCGGACGGGUGAGUAACGCGUGGACAAUCUACCCUGUAGACUGGGAUAACACCUCGAAAGGGGUGCUAAUACCGGAUAAUGUCGAGAAGCGGCAUCGCUUUUCGAAGAAAGGAGGGAAUCCGCUAUAGGAGGAGUCCGCGUCCCAUUAGCUAGUUGGUGAGGGUAACGGCCCACCAAGGCGACGAUGGGUAGCCGGCCUGAGAGGGUGAACGGCCACACUGGAACUGAGACACGGUCCAGACUCCUACGGGAGGCAGCAGUGGGGAAUAUUGUGCAAUGG
rnacentral:rRNA from 1 species